rnacentral:lncRNA from 1 species
UGAUCUCUGAGAAGUGAGUAGCUGGAGGCACCAGGAUACCAGCCAAGCCUAAAGGAUAAAGCAAAUCCCUGGACAUGGCUUUUGAUUCCAAGCUAAGAAGUGCAAGAAGCUCUUCCAAAUACAACUGCAACUGCCAAGAGAUUGAUGGACCACAGAAUGGCCUCUUCAUUCCAGGCACUUCUAAAGUCCAAGUGGUCAAAUACCAGCCUCUUUUUACCAAUGUUCCCACCUGUUUCAUUCAGCCAAAUUUCAUUAGAUGAAGGAAGGUGGUGCAUUCUUGAGAUUGAGAAUACAGAUGAGAAGCAGGUUUGAAUGGUGAAGAAAUGAUGGACCCUGUUUGUCUCAAACAAGGACUCUAAUGAUACAACAGAACAAGUCACAAGAAAGCUUGCCUGGAAAACCAUACACUGGCCUCUUCGUGUAUCCUUACAAACAUAGAAAAUAUUCAGCAAUUCGUUUGUUUGUUUGUUUUCCAGUCCACUCUUACUUGAGAAAAAUGCAAAACAUCAAAGACACAGAAAAACCACCAGUCUAUACAGCUUGCCCAUACUAAAUUGUUAUUCAUUUCAGAAGAGUGUACAGUUUCUUUCUGUAAGACUCUAUUAAACCAGUUACUCUACAAUAGCAAACAUUUUAGGCAAACCUAACCAUUGCUUCCCAUAAAGAUAUUUAUAUCUUUAAGUGGUAUCUGAUUCAUCCCUAAGAAAU